rnacentral:rRNA from 1 species
UAGGGAAUAUUGGACAAUGGGCGCAAGCCUGAUCCAGCCAUGCCGCGUGAGUGAAGAAGGCCCUCGGGUUGUAAAGCUCUUUUGUCCGGAAAGAAAAGCAUCGGGUUAAUACCCCGGUGUUCUGACGGUACCGGAAGAAUAAGCACCGGCUAACUUCGUGCCAGCAGCCGCGGUAAUACGAAGGGUGCAAGCGUUACUCGGAAUUACUGGGCGUAAAGCGUGCGUAGGUGGUUCGUUAAGUCUGAUGUGAAAGCCCUGGGCUCAACCUGGGAAUGGCAUUGGAAACUGGCGGACUGGAGUGCGGUAGAGGGUAGCGGAAUUCCCGGUGUAGCAGUGAAAUGCGUAGAGAUCGGGAGGAACAUCCGUGGCGAAGGCGUCUACCUGGACCAGCACUGACACUGAGGCACGAAAGCGUGGGGAGCAAACA